ACACGGUGAGCAUUGCUUCGUUUCGGCACACUGUGUUUCUGUCAAUCGUUGCGAACGGAUGUUUGGAAUUGUCGUCGUUGUAUGGUUGCCCAGUGAUUUUAUGUAAAACAAAAAGCAAAAAAGACAAAAAUAUAAAAUUUUUAAUACAACAGUUCAACUUGUAUCCUUCAACAAAAACAGAUAAGAGUUGAAGUACUUAACAGUACGAAACUCUAAAAAUAAAUAACAUCAAAGAAACACUAUUUGAAGUCAACAUGCGUAACUGAGAAGAUAAAGAAAAAAGGGCAAAUCAACGCAUAUGAUGUCUUUUCAACUGUAGCCAAAAGAAAAAAACUGUAUGCGUAUAAAGGAAACCAGAUUGUGUUUUAUUGCAUAUUUUGGUUGGUUGGUGGUUUGUUUUUGGUUGAUAAACAUUUGUUGCAAGCAUUUGGGCCAAUGCAAGAAAAUAAUGUAUCGUAGUUCAUAUCUACAACCUUUUUGUUUGGGAAUUUACACAGAGUUGCAACUACAAUACUACUACUAAACCCACAGUCUCAUGUGUGUGUGAGUGCUGUUUGCUAUGCAUUUUGGCGCUGGGAAUCAUGCGGGCGAACACGCACAAUCAGCUGGCGUAACGAAAUUUUACCACAUACUACUACAUAUCUAAUAUUUAUAAACAUACAUACAUGUGUACAUACAUUUAAUUUGUACUGGAUAUAAGUAGUAGGCAAUAAUCCGAAUUAACUUAUUGAUUGCUAUUACCGUCAACCUAAUAUGCAGGACAUGCAUAUAGACUUCCUUAACAUAGUAUGAAAUUCUCCUAUAUACAUAAAUAUAUAAAAAAAACUUAAAUUGUAUCUUUACGUACUGUAUCUACAACUAUUAACUACCACAACCACUUGCAAUUUAUGUAUGUUUAGUGUCAUCUGCUAUUAAUACUUACUCGUAUUUUGUACACAUCUUUACUUACAUACGUACUUGCAUACAUACAUACAUACAUACAUAAAAUAUAUCCCAUUCUGUGUAUUCUUGCAUAAUCUUUUAUAAAGUAUAUAAGUGCAGAUAUGUAAUUAGUAGUGAGCACAUAUUUGGUUGUGAGUAGGUGUGCGUUGAGUGGAUCUUUAAAAAAGUAUACAGUUUUAAGGCUGGUAUGCAGCUCUCAAGAAAUCGGUCAAGAAAAAUUUGCCAUUAUUUCGUGUGUGUA